ACAGCAGCAAAGCAUUGUGAGGCACCCAAGGUUGCAGGGCAGGUGGUGACACAACCCCUCGCUGGUCCAGAUUGCACCCUGAAACGUGAUAGGGGGAAAUGAUUAUUUUUCCAUAAUGAAUUCCCGGAUAGGUGCGCUGAGUUCCAGGGACUAGAUUAUCUCUCAUUUGAUCUUGGACUGAUGUCAGAUCUUUUCUGAACAGCCGGAGGAUAUAUAUAUAUAUGUGGUCGUUACAGCUCAGAGCUCUCUCUUACAGAUAAGACAUUGAAUUCUUGAGCUAUGUGUUUUGACUGGACUCAGAAGUAUUUCAAGAACUGCUAAUAUUUAGCUCUGCUGUGAUUUCUUGAAACAACAACUUUCUUCAGAGUCUAUCUCAUUUAUGUGUAUAAAUCCAGAAUGCAAUGUGUUCAUAUAUUUGGUACACUAGUUCUGGGAAUUACAGAAUCAAAAAAUGGAGAUAAUGAAUCAUCUGGCUGAAAUCCACGGUGCAGCCAAUAUUCCUCAAACACAUAUUCUCAAAUCCUGUUUUUGUUUAACUAACACUAAUCCAAAGUGUGUAUUAAAAACAAUUACAGGGACUCCCUACUAACAUACCAUAUUACACUAAAUGUUAACAUCUUGUUGAAGUUACUGCUUAUUCAGAACUUCUGCACACCCAAUGGGCAGUGCAGUAUGGCUUUUUUUCAAAAGUGUGAAUAAGUAAUCAUCAAAUUGCUCAAUGCAAAUGCAAGCAUAAUUAUUAAAGACCAAAUAAUACUUACUAAGCAAAACUUGGCUAUAACAAAUGCCUCUAAAGUACAUGUUCUCACAGAAGGUCUCUGCUAGGGAGCAAAUUUUUAUUUUUCAUAUUUUGAAAAUAAAAUGAGUUACCCUACAUUUAUAUAUGGUCUUGAUCCUACAAUUGGAUUCACCUGUGGGGACUCCAUCAGGGUAUAAGGCUCUGCCUGUUCAGAUCCCAUUGUAAAGUCGAGGUCUAUAUUAGAAAAAACCCUAUCCAUAGCCUUAAUGCCUGGGGAAUUGAAAUCCUUCAUAAGAACAAAUUGAAAUGAUGCUUGCUAAUAGUUUUAGAAGGUGCUAUUCUGAUCUGAAGUAUCUUGCCAAUGAUCCUGUGAUUUAGGCUUCCCUAAAUACUCAUUAACAUAACAGACCAUGACAUUUUAAAAGGGAUCAUUAUAGUCUAUCAUAUCAUGAUUUGUAGAUAAUAAGGAUGUGACAUACAUUUCUGUUCAGAUUGUUACGAUCUCAGUGUCAAUGGGAUAAAUUAUAGACUUUUCUAGUAUGUUUUCAUGUUUAACACUACUGUUGACUUAGACAAAACAAGAUACAUAAAAUAUAAAUUAGUUGGAUGAUUUAAACUCAUAAAAUUCUCUGCAUUCAGCACUAAGACUUUUCAUAAAUAUCUUUAACUCCUACUGUUCUGAGUGGGGCCAUACAAGUACGGAGGGAGGGAAGAGAGGGCAUUUCAGCACAUGUGAUAAGUAUAAUUUCAGACUUCUGCAGCACGCACAAUGAAAUGGAUUAUAGAAGUCUGAGAAGGACAAGACCUAUUGGAUCAUUGAGCCUAUUCCCCUGCAAAGAUAGAUUUACCCAAUGGACAAUGUAUUGGAUAUUAUAUUACCAGUUCUCCAAGCUAUUAUUC